GGGGCUAUAGCUCAGCUGGGAGAGCGCUUGCAUGGCAUGCAAGAGGUCAGCGGUUCGAUCCCGCUUAGCUCGCA
rnacentral:tRNA from 1 species